rnacentral:rRNA from 1 species
CCACGGGAGGCUGCAGUGGGGAAUAUUGGACAAUGGGCGAAAGCCUGAUCCAGCCAUGCCGCGUGUGUGAAGAAGGCCUUCGGGUUGUAAAGCACUUUCAGUGGGGAAGAAAGCCUUGGGGCUAAUACCCUCGAGGAAGGACAUCACCCACAGAAGAAGCACCGGCUAACUCCGUGCCAGCAGCCGCGGUAAUACGGAGGGUGCGAGCGUUAAUCGGAAUUACUGGGCGUAAAGCGCGCGUAGGCGGUCUGAUAAGCCGGUUGUGAAAGCCCCGGGCUCAACCUGGGAACGGCAUCCGGAACUGUCAGGCUAGAGUGCAGGAGAGGAAGGUAGAAUUCCCGGUGUAGCGGUGAAAUGCGUAGAGAUCGGGAGGAAUACCAGUGGCGAAGGCGGCCUUCUGGACUGACACUGACGCUGAGGUGCGAAAGCGUGGGUAGCAAACAGGAUUAGAUACCCGGUAGUC